rnacentral:tRNA from 1 species
GAGCGAUCGGGCAUGGUGACGAGACCUGCCUUCAAAACCAUGUUG